GACAGAGGAUGCAAGCGUUAUCCGGAAUGAUUGGGCGUAAAGCGUCUGUAGGUGGCUUUUAAGUCCGCCGUCAAAUCCCAGGGCUCAACCCUGGACAGGCGGUGGAAACUACCAAGCUGGAGUACGGUAGGGGCAGAGGGAAUUUCCGGUGGAGCGGUGAAAUGCGUAGAGAUCGGGAGGAACACCAGUGGCGAAGGCGGCUACCUGGACCAGCAUUGACACUCAAGCACGAAAGCGUGGGGAGCAAACAGG
rnacentral:rRNA from 1 species